GUGUUCACUUUGGGAGCACAUAGGUCAGAACUGGAAUGAAGAUAAACAUGGCCCCUACACAAGGAUGACAUGCAAAUUUGUGAAGCAUCCCAUAUUACC
ensembl:snRNA U6 U6 spliceosomal RNA